GUCGGGGUGGCAGAGUAAGUGCGUUAGAUUUAAGCUCUAAAUAUGAGACUAUAGAAGUUUUUCCUGGUA
rnacentral:tRNA from 1 species